AUUCUUACGUGGCAAGGGAGAUACCAUGAUCACCAAGGUAGCUUUCCCAGGGCUAAGCUUAUCCACUGAACACCAUAUGUGCUGACCCCUGUGAUCUCUCCAAAUGUGGGAAACUCAACUGCAUAUUUUGUAGUAGUUGGGGCAAGGGGGAAAGUGUACAAAAGUCCCAG